GGCCAUUAAGUUGAAGGACCUUAGUGAGUGUCUAGACACAUUUUCCAAGGCCCUCCUCACCUUGACCAUGGCCAUCUCUUUUUCUUUGGAACUGACAAUAUUUACAAUCUUUGUUGCUAAUUUGUAAAAGUACUGUAUAAGCCUUUUAACAUUUCUCAGAUUUAUUUUUCAGUAUGUAGUUUUCUUUUUGGGGGGGAUUUAGUCAUUUAACUUUCACAUGAGUGACAAUGUAUGUAGAAAUAUCACAUGAGAAAUAAAAUUGUCCAAAUGCAAUCAACAUAAAUAAUUUAAAUUUUCUAGAGGCAUAUUAAAAUAAAGUGAAAAUGUAAAGUUAAUUUUAAUAAUUUAUUUUAUUUAAGCUAAUAUAUCUGAAAUAUUGUCAUUCCAAUGUGUAAUUAAUAUACAAAAUUAUUGAGAUGUUUCCUUUGCGGGGGGAGGUCUUGGUGUGUAUUUCACACUUACAGCACAUGUUAAUUUGAAGCAGCUGUCCUCUAAAAGCUCAAUAGCUGCAUGUGGCUAGUGGCUACCAUAUUGAAUAGUGCAGCUAUAGACUUGAAGGUCUGAACUGUGUUUUCUACUUUGUGACCUCAGUUAUGCUUUCGAUUUGUAUUUUUUUUUUGCUUUUACCAUCUCACUGUACUUUGCGGUUUUAGUCAUCGACAGUGCAGGUUUAUUAGCACAAAAAGAAAACCAAACGAAGCAAGACCGAACAACCUAGUAAUUAUUCUUCAGGACACAUGCGAUUUGACAACACAUAGUCUACCUGAGCUGCAUAUAGGAUUGAAACAGAAAGCUGACAUAUGGAGCUUCCUGAAGGCUUCAGGCCCCAUUUCAGCAUCUAUGCAUUUAUGCAUAAAAUACAAAGACGGUCAAGGAAAAGACUCUCUAUUCACUACGACAGGAAGAAGAAAAAGACAACACAGGCAUAAUCGUCAGUGGUCAAAUUGAAGAAGAGUUUAUUAACAGCUACAAAAGAAGGAGCAUCAUUUUCCUAGCAAAGAUUCUGGCCAAUGAUUAUUUCUUAUCUCCAGUCUCUGCUGGAAAAGACAUUCUAUGCUCAGGGGACAGAUUUUUCAGAGCCUCCCAGGCCAGCAUGUAAGGAUAUGAGUAAAUGUAAAAAAGAUGGCACCACACAGUGGAUGCAUUGUCGGGAAAGCAAAUGAUUUUACAUGACUCACAGCAAAGAAAGGAUGCAUAAGGCCACAAAUGACAGUUUGAUGGAUAGAGAUGGAUGGCCAAAGGGAAACCUCACUUAAAAUUCCUCCUUUGAACAUUCCUCCACUGAAGAAUUUCAUAGAACUACACUGUAUUUUUUCUCCCCUUUCAGUCUUUUAAUAAUUUAUUUGCCUGACUCUAAAAGCAAUGUAUGUUCUUUAGAACAAUGUUGAGAGUACGAAAAAGAAAAAAGAAUAAUAAAAGAUGACCUUUCUUCCUGAACCAGCCAGAGGAAAUCAUUGUUAACAGUUUGACUUAUUUCCUUCUAGUCUUUCUUUUUACAGAUUUUUAUGUAGUGGAGAUAUUGCUGUGCUCUUCAUUUUACAUUUUAACGUGAACAUUUUCUUAUGUAAUUAAACAUUUCUUUGACUACAACUGACUUUGUCAUGCUAACAAUUUUUUCCAUUAUAAAUGAUGCUGUGAUGAAAAUAUUUGUACCUAAAUCAUUUACUACAGUUUCACGUUGUUUUUUUUAAAGUAGGUGGCAAAGAGAAAUUACUGGGUCACAAAAAGUAGAAACUUUUGUAAGGGUUUCAAAAUUAUAUUGCUAUGUUCUCUUCAAAAAAGGCUACAUUUUCCUUCCGAGAGCUAUUUCCCACCAUGUUUGGCAAACAAUAUAAAACCAGAUCACUGGACUUCUUAUUUCUAGUUUUGCUCCCACAUCAUUGUUUUUAUUCCCUUUUUGUAGUUUUGCUGAUGAUAUGGCAUAAAUUGUUGUCAAUAACUUCAUGGAAUAUCCUCAUCCUGGUAGCGUCUUGUCUCUGGCAUCUCCUCAAGUUUUUAUGAACAGACAGGACAGAGAAGAGAGUUUUGGAAAUAUUUGCUUCCAUUAAAAGUUUCAUUGAUUUAACUUCAGCAGAUGGAUUAGCAGGAAAAAUUUUGGGGAAAGAUCUACUUUCCCUGCAUUCUAAGAGAGCACUAUUUGAUAUACCUCACUCUCUUGUUGCUUGGCGCAUGAAUUACUUUUUCCCCCCUCUUUUUAUGGCCACACCAGUGUUAUAUGGAAGUUCCCAAUCUAAGGGUCUAAUGGGAGUUUCCCCUGCAGGCCUAUGCCACAGACACAGAACACUGGAUCCGAGAUGCAUCUGUGAUGUUUGCCACAGCUUGUGGCAAUGCCAAGUCCUUAACCCACUGAGCAAGGCCAGGGAUCAAAACUGCAUCCUCAUGGAGACUAUGUCAGGGUCCUUAACCUGCUGAACCACAACAGGAACUCCAUAAAUUACAUUUUAAAAUUUGUAGUAGCCUACAUUUAUCUAUAAUUUACUAUGUUCCAAGUAUUUUAUCUUUUGGAUUUCAUCAUUUCAUCCUCAAAAUUAAUCUAUAAAGAAGACACAGUUUUCAGUUCCUUUUUUAUCAUUAAGGGUCCUUAUCUUUAGAGCUGGAGAAUAAAUCACUCAAAUUACAAUGUUCUUAAAUAGCAGAGUCAAGAUUCAACCCCAGAAUCUAGAAAGUCUAGUUUGAAAACAAUUGCCUGUUCUUAACUGCUGCCACUAUAUGGCCUCAAAUUCAUGUAGAAAUUUCCCAGUUUGUCCAAUACCUUCUGUUGUCUUUGCACCUGCAACUCUUCAUUGCACAUAACUGUUUCCUAGUUGACUCUUAGCUCCUUGAGGGCAGGUUGGUACCCUGUUCAUUGUCAUCUGUCUACUGUCUGACGCAGUAUCAGGAAACUCAUAGGUGCUCAGGAAACAUUCAUUGAGUACAUGGUGUGAGUCAAAAAUCUUGGAAGAGAGACACGGCAUGAUAUUUUGCGGUGUUAUUCUUUAAAAGUUUUCCAGAGUAGACAGUUUUGUUCUUAUGAAUGCAAUUUAAAGAAAAGGAACUGAUUUGUUCGGUACUGUGAGAACUUUUGGCUACUAAAAUGACAUUUAGUAGUCAAACAGAGGGAAAAAAAUUAUUCAGCACUCUUUUAAAGAUUUCCUAACUGUUGCAAACCAAAUCCUUUUUAAAAAAAAACAAGUCUAAAAUGAUAUAUAAUAAUUUAGUUAGAAUUCAGGCGAAGCUUCAUGGAGUCAAUUUUUUUUUUACUUUGGUUUUUUUCAAAGUGUAGCUCAGUGGGUGUAAACCCACACAAAC
rnacentral:lncRNA from 1 species